UACGGGGGGAGCAAGCGUUGUUCGGAUUUACUGGGCGUAAAGGGCGCGUAGGCGGUCAGCACAAGUCAGUUGUGAAAUCUCCGAGCUUAACUCGGAACGGUCAACUGAUACUGUGCGACUAGAGUGCGGAAGGGGCAACUGGAAUUCUCGGUGUAGCGGUGAAAUGCGUAGAUAUCGAGAGGAACACCUGCGGCGAAGGCGGGUUGCUGGGCCGACACUGACGCUGAUGCGGCGAAAAGCCCAGGGGGAGCGAAACGGGG
rnacentral:rRNA from 1 species